CUACGGGUUGCAGCAGGCGAGAAAACUUUGCAAUGUGCGAAAGCACGACAAGGUUAAUCCGAGUGGUUUGUGCUAAACGAACCUUUUGACAGUCCUAGAAACACUGUUGAAUAAGGGGUGGGCAAGUUCUGGUGUCAGCCGCCGCGGUAAAACCAGCACCUCAAGUGGUCAGGAUGAUUAUUGGGCCUAAAGCAUCCGUAGCCGGCUCUGUAAGUUUUCGGUUAAAUCUGUACGCUCAACGUACAGGCUGCCGGGAAUACUGCAGAGCUAGGGAGUGGGAGAGGUAGACGGUACUCGGUAGGAAGGGGUAAAAUCCUUUGAUCUAUUGAUGACCACCUGUGGCGAAGGCGGUCUACCAGAACACGUCCGACGGUGAGGGAUGAAAGCUGGGGGAGCAAACCGGAUUAGAUACCCUCGAGUC
rnacentral:rRNA from 1 species